GUGAGGAAUAUUGCGCAAUGGAGGCAACUCUGACGCAGCCAUGCCGCGUGCAGGAAGAAGGCGCUACGUGUUGUAAACUGCUUUUAACCGGGAAGAAACCCCAGGACGUGUCCUGGGUUGACGGUACCGGAGGAAUAAGCACCGGCUAACUUCGUGCCAGCAGCCGCGGUAAUACGAAGGGUGCAAGCGUUAUCCGGAUUCAUUGGGUUUAAAGGGUGCGUAGGCGGAGCGUUAAGUCAGUGGUGAAAUCCUGCAGCUUAACUGUAGACUUGCCAUUGAUACUGGGGCUCUUGAGUGCGCUUGAAGUGGGCGGAAUGUGCCGUGUAGCGGUGAAAUGCUUAGAUAUGGCACAGAACACCAAUUGCGAAGGCAGCUCACUAAGGCGAUACUGACGCUGAGGCACGAAAGCGUGGGGAUCGAACAGGAUUAGAAACCCGAGUAGUCC
rnacentral:rRNA from 1 species